GCAGUUGCAUACACACACACGCGCACACAAUAAACUAUGCUGUGUGUGCUGCACCCAUUAUUACAUUGGCGCCCAGGCCGCCCACAAUAUGUGUGUGUAUGUGUGUAUACAGGGUCAGCAGCGGCCAAACCCAUUUUCAUGGCCACAAGGCAUACCCAAAAUAACAACAAAAAAUAAAUAAAAGACGGAGAUGAA